AUUGAACGCUAGCGGCAGGCUUAACACAUGCAAGUCGAACGAGUGGCGGACGGGUGAGUAAUAUAUCGGAACGUGCCCAGUAGCGGGGGAUAACUACUCGAAACGGUGGCUAAUACCGCAUACUAUUGGAUCAGCCCAUAUCGGAUUAGCUAGUAGGUGGGGUAAAGGCUCACCUAGGCGACGAUCCGUAGCUGGUCUGAGAGGAUGACCAGCCACACUGGGACUGAGACACGGCCCAGACUCCUACGGGAGGCAGCAGUGGGGAAUUUUGGGCAAUGGAGGAAAGCCUGAUCGAGCCAUGCCGCGUGUAUGAGAAGGUCUUCGGGUCGUAAAGCACUGUUGGUAGAGAAGCGGUAUCUGAAGAAGAAGCACCGGCUAACUACGUGCCAGCAGCCGCGGUAAUAC
rnacentral:rRNA from 1 species